AUCUCGGAAGCGGUAGUAUUUUGAAUUUUUCUCUGGACUUGUCAUGAUGUUAGGCAGUUAUAAACAUACUCCUUGGAAGUAUUUUAGCAGUACUGUAUUCACUAUUAAGUGGAUUCUCAAGUCUCAGUAACUAGUCAACUCAAUCAUUGUAGUAGGAAAGCAUAUUAAUGUUUGUUUGAAGACUUAUCUACAUGAAGGAACAGAAAAUUACAUGACUUACUAAAGCAAGAGUGAACUCUGAAAAAUGUUAGUACAAGUCACAGUGAUUCAAUAUUUUAAAAUAGAUUUGUUCAACGUCAUAAUUCAUACUAAUUUAGCUUGGUACCAUCGGACAAGAAAAGGCAUGGUUAUGGACAGUUGC